rnacentral:rRNA from 1 species
ACGUAGGUGGCAAGCGUUGUCCGGAUUUAUUGGGCGUAAAGCGAGCGCAGGCGGUUCCUUAAGUCUGAUGUGAAAGCCCACGGCUCAACCGGGGAAGGGCAUUGGAUACUGGGGAACUUGAGUGCAGAAGAGGGGGGUGGAAUUCCAGGUGUAGGGGUGAAAUGCGUAGAUAUAUGGAGGAACACCAGUGGCGAAGGCGGCUCCCUGGCCUGUAACUGACGCUGAGGUGCGAAAGCGUGGGGAGCAAACAG